CAGUCCUUGUCACGGUAUACGAUUCGUGUUGCUGUGUUGACGUCAAAUCCGGUCUGUUAUUUCUUACGUUGGAUUUAAAUCCGUGUGACAAAAGGAAAAGAAAACACUUUCUGUUUGAACGUAGGAGACACAUUCGUUUCAGGAAGACAAGGUCCAGAGACAGAACGUCACUACGCUUCCAAAUCAAGUCACUACGAUUUGUCCACGCGACAAGUUUUAGCAGCCAAUUGUUGGGUAUUUCUGAUCCUUUAAGACUGAAUUGACCUUGUGUUCGAAAUGAGUGGGGAAAAGAAUUAUAGUCAACUGAAAUACUAUGCUACCAGUGGUGACAACGUGGACAGUGAGUUGGACAACUUUGGAGUUGAGAAUGAUGCCAAUCUAUCAAGUACAUCAGAGUCCAGGGUAUUAUUCAGUAAAUCCAAUAAAGGU